rnacentral:rRNA from 1 species
UACAGAGGUCUCAAGCGUUGUUCGGAUUCAUUGGGCGUAAAGGGUGUGUAGGUGGCGCGCUAAGUCGGGUGUGAAAUCUCGGAGCUUAACUCCGAAACUGCAUUCGAUACUGCCGUGCUUGAGGACUGGAGAGGAGACUGGAAUUUACGGUGUAGCGGUGAAAUGCGUAGAUAUCGGAAGGAACACCAGUAGCGAAGGCGGCUUCCUGGACUGUAACUGACACUGAGGCGCGAAAGCGUGGGGGGCAAACAGG